rnacentral:rRNA from 1 species
UGCGUAGGCGGUUAAUUAAGUCAGAUGUGAAAGCCCCGGGCUUAACCUGGGAACUGCAUUUGAUACUGGUUAACUAGAGUUUAGUAGAGGGGAGUGGAAUUUCAGGUGUAGCGGUGAAAUGCGUAGAUAUCUGAAGGAACACCAGUGGCGAAGGCGACUCCCUGGACUAAAACUGACGCUGAGGUACGAAAGCGUGGGUAGCAAACAGGAUUAGAUACCCUGGUAGUCCACGCCGUAAACGAUGUCAACUAGCCGUUGGUCCUAUUUACAGGAUUAGUGGCGCAGCUAACGCAUUAAGUUGACCGCCUGGGGAGUACGGCCGCAAGGUUAAA